rnacentral:misc_RNA from 1 species
UCCGACUUGACGCCGGCAGUCUCGUUAGAGUCCUGUCUUGCGACUAGCAACUAACGACAGGGGUUGCGCUCGUUAGAGGACUUAACCCGACACUUCACAGCACGAGCUGACGACAGCCAUGCAGCACCUGUGCAUGUUGUACCCUUGCGGGCCUGGCUCCCCUUUCAGGGAGUUAAUCCAUGCAUGUCAAACCCAGGAUAAGGUUCUUCGCGUUGCUUCGAAUUGAGCCACAUGCUCCACCGCUUGUGUGAGCCCCCGUCAAUUCCUUUGAGUUUUAGCCUUGCGACCGUACUCCCCAGGCGGUGCACUAAUUACUUUUGCUUCGACCCUGAUACCGUCAGAGGUCCCAGGAUCUAGUGCACAUCGUUUACAGCGUGGACUA